GGCAGUGUGGUGGAGAGGUUAACACGUCAGCCUGCUAUACAGUUGAGCUGAUGCCUUCGGGUUCGCGAGUUCGAAUCUCGUCGCUGUCG